UGGGGAAUUUUGGACAAUGGGCGAAAGCCUGAUCCAGCAAUGCCGCGUGUGUGAAGAAGGCCUUCGGGUUGUAAAGCACUUUUGUCCGGAAAGAAAUCCUUGGCUCUAAUACAGUCGGGGGAUGACGGUACCGGAAGAAUAAGCACCGGCUAACUACGUGCCAGCAGCCGCGGUAAUACGUAGGGUGCAAGCGUUAAUCGGAAUUACUGGGCGUAAAGCGUGCGCAGGCGGUUUGCUAAGACCGAUGUGAAAUCCCCGGGCUCAACCUGGGAACUGCAUUGGUGACUGGCAGGCUAGAGUAUGGCAGAGGGGGGUAGAAUUCCACGUGUAGCAGUGAAAUGCGUAGAGAUGUGGAGGAAUACCGAUGGCGAAGGCAGCCCCCUGGGCCAAUACUGACGCUCAUGCACGAAAGCGUGGGGGAGCAAACAGGAUUAGAUACCCUGGUAGUCCACGCCCUAAACGAUGUCAACUAGUUGUUGGGGACUUCAUUUCCUUAGUAACGUAGCUAACGCGUGAAGUUGACCGCCUGGGGAGUACGGUCACAAGAUUAAAACUUAAAGGAAUUGACGGGGUCAUAGCUGUUUCCU
rnacentral:rRNA from 1 species